rnacentral:lncRNA from 1 species
CUCCAAGCCAUGAGAUGGAAGAGUGUCCUUAUAUGAAGACUGCUGGAGUUCCAUUGGCUGGAAGUGCCUCAGGCUGUGGCUGGUGUUUGAAGGGCUGCUCCACACAUAUCAAUCAUCCUUUGACAAGAUCUGGAAGAAAAAAAAAAACAACAAAAACCACCCCCCAAAAAGGUGAGGUUCCGAGAUGGUAUCUGGAUGAUGAACACAGAGAGAGCUUCCAUUGUUCCUCUUCUCCUUUGUGCAGAGGAAGCCGUUGGCUGAAAAUAACAAGAGGAAGAAUUCGUCUUCAUGAAUUGAAUUGUCAGUUCUGCAGACAAUUAUCAAAAAUUUUACAGGAACACCUUGAGAGAUGUCGAAGUGUUUAUUUCAACAGCCCAAAGAAGAGAACCACAAUAUGGACACUCUCUGUCUUCACAAAUCCCCCAACGCAUGUUUUAUUCAACCUUCCAAUUUUUAGACAAAGAUUCUUGUUAGCCUCAUGAAAGACCUGGAUACUGGGGGAAAGAUGGUAUCAUAUUUUCAAUUAUGAUCAACUCACCUAAUCUGACGGAAGUGGUAAGAAGGAAGCUGGUGUGUAUGCUGAUUGUGAUUUUGAGAAUAAACUCUUACUUCUAAACCACUUACAAAAGUAUUUGCUUUUAGGAAAUGCUGUGUCUGGGUGAGGUACUAGUGGCAGUAACACCUAUUGUACUGUGACAAGUAUUUAAUGGAAUUUAGAAGUAAGGUUGAGCUAAGGAUGCUCCCAAUGUGGCAGGAUUCACAGCAAAGUAUACAAAGGAAAGACUAUGAGUGGAAAGUGACUUGUUAGAAUGUGAGCAGAGAUGUGUCCAGAGCCUCUUCCACCUGCUCGUGUGAAACCCUUAAAAGAUCCUCUAAAGUCUCUCCAGUGGUUCUGUCCAAGUGGAAAGAAGAGAAGGAAUAAGGUAGAGUAGGAAAAGGAGUUCUUCAUGCUUGGGAACGUGAAGAACAUUCUCCUAAAGUAAUGUUCUUAUUUCUAUUAAUCAGCUGUGCAUUGCUCAGGUGAUUUCUGAGAUGAGAUGCAUCAGAAUCCGUGCAUAUCUUUUGUGGUUCCAGAUAACAGCCUACUUCACUAAAAAAAAUCUUCCAGAAUCAUUAAGAGCAUUAAUUUUCAAAACUGUAGAAGGACUAUGGACAUCUUGUGCUUUUAGAGAAUGAACACACAACACAUUUUCUGUUAUAUCAGAGCUUACAGCUUCUAUCAAUUAAGAAAGUAUGGCUCCACUCAAUGAGCUAUAAAGUGAUAGCACAAGAAGGACUUUAGGAAUCAUUGAGCUCCCUUAUCUCUUUGGACAGAUGAGCAAACUGAGACCCAAACAGGAGAGGAGAGGACAAAGUCUUACCCUGGUCGCCUACUGAAUUUGUGGCAGGGUCAAACAACAUUUAUCCCAGAUUCUCAACUGACAUUUCCUUAUACUGUCUUCAUUUUGACCAUUAGCUUGUCAGCUUAAAGGAUUCAAUUAAUUCAAACAGGAUCUUGUAAUUAAAAAAAAUAGAAAAUACAAAAUACAAAAUCAGACUAACUUUCCGUGAGUCACUUUUCCAAAAUGUUUUGUAUCAAUGUGUAACAAACGAG